GUAGGGGUCGCCGGAACUGUAGGUGUAGCGGUGAAAUGCGUAGAUAUCUACAGGAACACCAAAGACGAAGGUAGGCGACUGGGCUGGUUCUGACGCUCAGGCACGAAAGCGUGGGGAGCAAACAGGAUUAGAUACCCUGGUAGUCCACGCCGUAAACGAUGUGUACUAGAUCUCGGAGGUUCUGACACCAUCGGGAUCGAAGCAAAAGUGUUAAGUACACCGCCUGGGGAGUACGGUCGCAAGGCUAAAACUCAAAGGAAUUGACGGGGGCUCACACAAGCGGUGGAGCAUGUGGCUUGAUUCGAAGCAACGCGAAGAACCUUAUCCUGGGUUUGACAUGUACGGAUGCCCUUCCUGAAAGGGAAGUAAGCUGCCCUCGUUGGUGAAACGUACACAGGUGCUGCAUGGCUGUCGUCAGCUCGUGCUGUGAAGUGUUGGGUUAAGUCCCUUAGCGAGCGAUACCCCUGUCGUUAGUUACCAGCGCGCCUUCGGGUGUCUGGGGACUCUAACGAGACUGCCGGUGUCAAAUCCGGUAGUAAGGCGGUGUUGACGUCAAGUCCUCAUGGCCUUUAUGCCCAGGGCUGCACACGUGCUACAAUGGUACAUACAAAGCGAAGCGAUACCGUAAGGUGGAGCAAAUCGCAUAAAAUGUGCCCCAGUUCGGA
rnacentral:rRNA from 1 species